UACGUAGGGGGCAAGCGUUGUUCGGAAUUACUGGGAGUAAAGGGCGCGUAGGCGGCACGGCAAGUCGGGAGUGAAAGGCCUGGGCUCAACCCAGGAACGGCUUUCGAGACUGCCGAGCUAGAGUGCGGAAGGGGCAACUGGAAUUCCCAGUGUAGCGGUGAAAUGCGUAGAUAUUGGGAAGAACACCGGAGGCGAAGGCGGGUUGCUGGGCCGACACUGACGCUGAGGCGCGAAAGCCAGGGGAGCAAACGGG
rnacentral:rRNA from 1 species